AAAUUUAUCAAUUUUUUCAUUUAUGGUUAGUGGGUUUUGUUUCUUAUUUAAGAAAUCUUCCUGGGCAGCCAUCUUGCUCUUGCUGCACACUGAAAUUGGAGGACCUUCUCUGCUUCAGAUUAACCAACAGCAUAAAUCAAGAAAAGUUAGCCAAACUUCUGGAUCAGGUCCAGACUGGCGGCAAGGGUACGACUCACAGAAAGAAGAUGGUACAAAGAACAGCUACAGCUGAUGACAAAAAGCUGGAGAAGAGCUCCAAGCUGCCCGACGGCCAGGUCAUCACCAUCGGCAACUAGCGGUUCCAGUGUCCGGAGGUACUGUUCCAGCCUUCCUUCCUGGGCAUGGAAUCCUGCGGAAUCCACAAGACCACGUUCAACUGCGUCAUGAAGUGUGAUGUGGACAUCUUCAAAGACCUGUACGCCAACACAGUGCUGUCCAGCGGCACCACCAUGUACCCGCACAUCGCCAACAGGAUGCAGAAGGCAAUCACUGCCCUGGCACUUGGCACCAUGAAGAUCAAGAUCAUUGCGCCCUGAGAGCGAAAGUACUGAAAGUAUUCAGUGUGGAUCGGCGGCUCCAUCCUGGCCUCACUGUCCACCUUCCAGCAGAUGUGGAUUAGCAAGCAGGAAUAUGACAAAUUGGGCCCCUCCAUUGUUCACCACAAAUGCUUCUAAAUAGACUGUGAGCAGAUGCAAAGCUUUUGCUGCAUUGGUUAAUUCAGAAGUAUAAAUUUGUCCCUGGCAAAUGCAUAUAUCACAAAUCUGGAAUAAGCCUUUGAAAAGAAACUGUCCUUGAAGCUAGUAUCUGAUAUCAGCACUGGAUCGUAGAACUUGUGGCUGAUUUUGACCUUGUAUUCAAGUUAACUGUUCCCCUUGGUAUUUGUUUAAUACCCUGUACAUAUCUUUGAUUUCCACCCUUAGUACAUGUGGCUUGGUCACUUCGUAGCUGACGUAAGAACAUGCUUGUGGAAGACAAGUCUGUGGCUUGGUGAGUCUGCGUGGCCAGCAGUCUCCGAUCUGUGCAGGGUAUUAAUGUGUCAGGACUGAGUGUUCUGGGAUUUCUCUAGAGGCUGGCAAGGGCUCCUGAACCAGUUGUUUCUGUCCUUUCAAUCAGACAAUCUGGAGAGUCACAACUGUAUCUAGAAAAACUGCCAGAAGCAAAAGUAAAUUCCAUAUGGAGGAAGAUACCAUCCAGAGCCUCAGGUUACAAAUUAGUGUUAUAAUUUUGCAAUCAUAACAUCCAGCACACAAUAAAAAAGUACUCAGGCAUACAAAGAGUUAAGAACAGACUGAAAACCAAGGGGGAAAAGCUGACUGUAAAGAAGAGACCAAGGGGAGACUGAAGUACUGGCAUUGUCAAAUCCAGACUAUAACUGAUUAAUUUGUUCAAAGCAAUAUAUGACAAUUGGAGCAUUUUGGCAGAAAAUUUGAAACUGCAAAAGUAAAUAAAAUGGAAAUUCUGGAAAUGAAAAAAAAAUUGGAAACAAUGCAAUGGAUAGGCUAAAGAGCAUAUUACACACAAGUGUGGAAUGUAGGUCAGAGGAAAAUAUCCAGACUGAGGUAGGUUAAGCAAAAGGAUAAAGAACACAGAGAAAAGCAUAAUACACAUACAAGGCAUUAUUAGGCUUGUGAAAUGGUCUAACACAGAGAUAACUGAAGUUUGAGAAAGAGAAGAGAGAAUGGAGCAGGACCAAUACAUAAAAAUAGAGUGGCCAAGUCAAUUUUCCAAAAUUGACUAAAGACAUCAAGUUGUAGGUUCAA